rnacentral:ncRNA from 1 species
UAUUUUUGCACUUUGAUAGAAAAUCUAUCAUUGCAUAAUAAUUAUUGAAACAAUAUUGGCAUG